rnacentral:rRNA from 1 species
GAUGAACGCUAGCGGGAGGCUUAACACAUGCAAGUCGAGGGGUAACAGGGUAGCAAUACCGCUGACGACCGGCGCACGGGUGAGUAACGCGUAUGCAACCUGCCUAUAACUGGGGAAUAGCUCCCUGAAAGGGGAAUUAACACCGCAUAACACUAUUGAUUCGCAUGGAUUGGUAGUUAAAUGUAGCGAUACAGGUUAUAGAUGGGCAUGCGUGACAUUAGCUAGUUGGUGAGGUAACGGCUCACCAAGGCUACGAUGUCUAGGGGUUCUGAGAGGAAGGUCCCCCACAUUGGAACUGAGACACGGUCCAAACUCCUACGGGAGGCAGCAGUGAGGAAUAUUGGUCAAUGGUCGCAAGACUGAACCAGCCAAGUAGCGUGAGGGAAGACGGCCUUCGGGUUGUAAACCUCUUUCAGCAGGGAAGAAGCGAAAGUGACGGUACCUGCAGAAGAAGCACCGGCUAACUACGUG